rnacentral:rRNA from 1 species
GACGAACGCUGGCGGCGUGCUUAACACAUGCAAGUCGAACGGAAAGUCCCUGCUUUUGUGUGGUGCUCGAGUGGCGAACGGGUGAGUAACACGUGAGUAACCUGCCCUUGACUUUGGGAUAACUUCAGGAAACUGGGGCUAAUACCGGAUAGGAGCUCCUGCUGCAUGGUGUGGGUUGGAAAUUUUCGGCGGUUGGGUAUGGACUCGCGGCUUAUCAGCUUGUUGGUGGGGUAGUGGCUUACCAAGGCUUUGACGGGUAGCCGGCCUGAGAGGGUGACCGGGCACAGUGGGACUGAGAUACGGCCCAGACUCCAACGGGAGGCAGCAGUGGGGAAUAUUGCACAAUGGGCGGAAGCCUGAUGCAGCAACGCCGCGUGCGGGAUGACGGCCUUCGGGUUGUAACCCGCUUUCGCCUGUGACGAAGAGUGAGUGACGGUAAUGGGUAAAGAAGCACCGGCUAACUACGUG